CAAGAAGCGGGCACUGUGGGCCCAAUCUUCUCACUAACCAACUAGAGUUAAUAACUAACUCUUUAACAUGA
rnacentral:misc_RNA from 1 species